rnacentral:rRNA from 1 species
AUCUUGCACAAUGGACGAAAGUCUGAUGCAGCGACGCCGCGUGAGUGAUGAAGGCUUUCGGGUUGUAAAGCUCUGUUCUCAGGGAAAAAUAAAUUGAUUGCACCUGAGGAGAAAGGACCGGCUAACUUCGUGCCAGCAGCCGCGGUAAGACGGGGGGUCCAAGCGUUGUUCGGAAUCAUUGGGCGUAAAGCGGGCGUAGGUGGCCUAGCAAGUCAGGAGUGAAAGCCCUGGGCUCAACCCAGGAAGUGCUCUUGAUACUGCUUGGCUUGAAUGUGGGAGAGGGUAGUGGAAUUCCAGGUGUAGUGGUGAAAUACGUAGAUAUCUGGAGGAACACCGGUGGCGAAGGCGGCUACCUGGCCCAACAUUGACACUGAGGCCCGAAAGCGUGGGGAUCAAAC